rnacentral:rRNA from 2 species
GACGAACCGAGCGAACGUUGUUCGGAAUCACUGGGCUUAAAGGGCGCGUAGGCGGGCUGUCAAGUUUGGGGUGAAAUCUCACGGCUCAACCGUGGAACUGCCUCAAAUACUGACGGUCUCGAGGGAGAUAGGGGCGAGCGGAACUAAUGGUGGAGCGGUGAAAUGCGUUGAUAUCAUUAGGAACUCCGGUGGCGAAGGCGGCUCGCUGGAUCUCUUCUGACGCUGAGGCGCGAAAGCUAGGGGAGCAAACGGG